UUGCUUUGGCAGCACAUAUACUAAUAUUGGAAUGAUACAGAGAAGAUUAGCAUGGCCCCUGUGCAAGGAUGACAUGCAAAUUUGUGAAGCGUUCCAUAUUUUU
ensembl:snRNA U6 U6 spliceosomal RNA